GUUUUAAAUAAACUAAGAGAUUUCAAAAUUCUAAAAAAGACAAAUAAUUUUUUUAAAAAUAUGUGGGACCCUCUAUAAUUAGUGGAGGCCAAUUUAAUCACAUGGGACAAUUAGGUGGGCCCUAUGAGUGGCCACCAAAAGGUGGCAUACCCAACACAUAAGGGAUGCUUCUUCUUACUAAUUGUGGUAAGACACAUCUCAUGCUAGUUGGCUUUUCUUUUGUGGAGAGAAGCCUACUUGUAUUAAAGCAAUGAAAUAUGUGGUUUUAGAAAACUUGCUGAUCAAGAAGGUUUUGAUUGUGAAAUAAGGA
rnacentral:lncRNA from 1 species